UACGUAGGGGGCAAGCGUUGUCCGGAAUCAUUGGGCGUAAAGCGCGCGUAGGCGGCCCGGUAAGUCCGUUGUAAAAGUCAAAGGCUCAACCUUUGAACGCCGAUGGAUACUGCCGGGCUAGAGUCCGGAAGAGGCGAGUGGAAUUCCUGGUGUAGCGGUGAAAUGCGCAGAUAUCAGGAGGAACACCGGUGGCGAAGGCGGGUCUCUGGGCCGAUACUGACGCUGAGGAGCGAAAGCGUGGGGAGCAAACAGG
rnacentral:rRNA from 1 species